rnacentral:rRNA from 1 species
GGUUGUAAUCGUCUUGUCAUCAACUCUGACAAUAUGGAAGUGAUUGACACAAUGAAGAAUGGAGGAUAAUCGAUGGGAACAACGGCAACAGUGCUUGAUGAUUGCUAUUUCAUAGCUUGCGAUUUUCCUCUUGUUAGGUUCGAACAUUGUAAUAUGGAAGCAAAUAAAGUGGCUCAUGAACUAGCUAGGCUAGCGAAAUUUGUCACUAGGGAUUAGUUUGAGGACCCUAUAAAUGAAAUUGCAUCUUUACUUAUUGACGAUGUAACUAUUAUUUCUAAUUAA